UGUGUGUGUGUGUGUGUGUGUGUGUGUGUGUGUGUGUGUGUGUGGCAGGGCUCGGCUCUGUUCAGCACUCUGUGUGGAGCACACUGGAGGAAUCAGGAGCAGGAGCAGAUUCAGAACGUCUUCAAGAGGUUUCUCUUUCACUAUUCUAAAGCACACAACUCGGCGGGAUCCGUCGAGAGAGAGAGAAGCUGAAGAGAGUUUGCGGCGUGUCUGGACGACGUAUUCGAGGUGCGUGCAGAUUAAACUAUUGUGUAAAGCAGAUGCUCACACACACAUACAGCUAAAAACUGAAGUUAAUUCAGGAUUCACACAUUUCUGGAACAGUUCAUCUUUUCAUGAUUACAGGAUAAGAACUUCAUAGGUUCAUUAAUUUAAUGCACUUUAUAAAUUGAUUUAUUGUUUUAUUACUUCAUCAAAUGUAACUAAUUAAAAUAUAAUUUUUAAUUUACUUAAUGUUUAAUUAUUUUUUUAAUUUAACCAAUAUCAACUUAAUUUUUUAAAUUACACAAGAUUCAUCAAAACAUUUUUAAGUCAGUUUAAUAUUAUAGGAUUUUUUAAUAAUCUGAAAUAAGACAAUCUGAUUCGACUUAAAAAGUCAAGGCAGCAACUAAACUGAAGUUUCUGAGUUUAAAGUACUCAAAAAAUAAAAUAAAAAAAUAAAUAAAAAUACUACCA
ensembl:lncRNA